AAAAUAUGCAAACAAGAAUUCUUUACCCAGAAAGGCUGUCAUUCAAAAUAGGAGAGAUAAAAAAUUUCCCAGACAAAAAUUAAAGGAGUUCAUGACCACUAAACCAGCCUUGCAAGAAAUUUUAAGGGGGAGUCUCUGAGGGGAGAAAAGAUGAAAAAAAA